AUUGAACGCUGGCGGCAGGCCUAACACAUGCAAGUCGAGCGGAUGAAGGGAGCUUGCUCUUGGAUUCAGCGGCGGACGGGCGAGUAAUGCCUAGGAAUCUGCCUGGUCGUGGGGGAUAACGUCCGGAAACGGGCGCUAAUACCGCAUACGUCCUGAGGGAGAAAGAGGGGGAUCUUCGGACCUCACGCUAUUUGAUGAGCCUAGGUCGGAUUAGCUAGUUGGUGGGGUAAAGGCCUACCAAGGCGACGAUCCGUAACUGGUCUGAGAGGAUGAUCAGUCACACUGGAACUGAGACACGGUCCAGACUCCUACGGGAGGCAGCAGUGGGGAAUAUUGGACAAUGGGCGAAAGCCUGAUCCAGCCAUGCCGCGUGUGUGAAGAAGGUCUUCGGAUUGUAAAGCACUUUAAGUUGGGAGGAAGGGCAGUAAGUUAAUACCUUGCUGUUUUGACGGUACCAACAGAAUAAGCACCGGCUAACUUCGUG
rnacentral:rRNA from 1 species